rnacentral:lncRNA from 1 species
CUCAUUUAUGGCCUGGGCUCUGUGGGCUGCCACAUCUCCAGCUAGUGGGAUGUGAGUCCUUGUCCCCAUUCUGUAGAAAUAGGAGCCUGAGAUUCAGAGAGGAGAGACCUGUGGGACUUAUUCAGAGGGGGUAGAGGUCGGACUAGUGAGCUGAGGCUUGGGAUGGCUCUGGGGCUCCUACCCCCGGCACUACAAUGGUGCCGAGGUCUGUCCAUCCCUUCCGCACCCCACCUUAUUUCUCCCUCCAGCUAACUCCCUGGGGUGCUUCUCUCAUUACAAGGUCUGUCCUGUAUUUUUUUUUUAGCUCUUCGGCCUCUGAAACACUCUGAAAACAAAGAAGAUGACGGACAAGAAAUAGCUUGACUGGAAGCUGCUGCCCUUCCCUGGUGGGGGGGCCCACCCUCUGGCUGUAUUGAGCCUCAAUGUGAGCCCUGCCCCCAAUGAAUGGGUUUUGUUCCACAGAUCUACCCAUUCUUUAGAGGACGUGGUUUACAGGCUACCCACAGCCUUAUUUUCCCAAUGGACUUAAUUCCCAUCAUCCUGAAGCCUCCUUUCUCCAGUGACACGAUACACGAACCAUCCUGCGGCCUUAUUUCUUACGGACUCGACACAAAGAGUUCUCCACCUCAGUGUCCCUCCAGAGUCAUCCGGUGGCCUUGUGAUACUACACGGACCUUCCUUCUGCCUUACUUUAAUAGAUAUACACAAACCAUC